rnacentral:lncRNA from 10 species
CCAAAGGAGGGUAGGCGGGAGGGCGCUGAUGGCUUUUCCAGAGAGGAAGCAGGGGAAGGUGCCAGGAAGAGAUAAGGAGCCCCAGUGAGGACUGAGCCCUGGAACUGCCUUCAUUAUUUAGGACUGGGAGCCCCAGCAGGACAGGACUGGAACCAUCGUGGUCACUGUUGUGUCUCCUGCACCACCCAACACCAGGCCAGGCAUAGAGGAGAUUUUGUUCAAUGCAACUGUUUGUUCAAUGUCAUUCAUUCAAUAAAUAUUUACAGAGCACCAAUUCUGUUCCGGGCACUGGGGAUAAAUCAGUGAAGGAAUUCAAAGAGCCCUGAUUGGC